UUAGGAUUCCUUUUUCUAUUUCUUUGAAAAAAAAGCCUCUGAAAUUUUGAUAGGAAUUGUGUUGAAUCUGUAGAUCCUUUUGAGUGGUGUGGACAUUAAACAAUAUUAAUUUUUCUAAUCCAUGAACAUGAAAUACUUUUCCAUUUAUUUUUAUCUAAUUUUUCUCAUCAUAGUUGUUUAGCUUUCAGUAUAUAGAGCUUUUACCACCUCAGUUAAGUUUAUACCUAAGUAUUUUAUUCUUUAUGAUGCUAUUACAACAGGAUUGUUUUCUUAAUUUCUAUUUUGGGUGGUUCAUUUUUAAUGUAGAGAAUGCUACUGGUUUUUGUAUGUUGAUUUUCUAUCUUGCAACUUUGCUAACUUCAUUCAACAGUUCUAACAGAUUUUUGGUGGAGUCUUCUGGGUUUUCUGUAUAUAAGAUCAUGCUAUCUGCACACAAAGACAAUUUUACUUCUUCCUCUCUAAUGUGAAUGCCUUUUACUUUUUUUUCUCACCUAAUUGCUCUGUCUAGGACUCCAGCACUAUGUUGAAUAGAAGUGGAGAACGUGGGAAUCCCUGUCUUGCUCCUGAUCUUAGAGAAAAAGCUUUCAGCUUUUUACCUUCGAGUAUGAUGCUAUCUGUGGGCUUGCCAUGUAUGGCUUGUUUGAUGUUGAGGUAUGUUCCUUCAAUACCUAAUGUGUUGACAGUUUUCAUCAUGAGACGAUGUUGAAUGUUACCAAAUGCCUUUUCUGAAUCUAUUGAAAUGAUUGUGUAAUUUUUAUCCUUCAUUCUCUUCAUGUGGUAUAUUGCAUUUAUUGAUUCAUCUAUGAUGAACUAUCCUUGCCUCUCAGGGAUAAUUCCCAAAUUUACCCAGCUGGGCUUCUUAAACAUUCUGUCUCUAUACUUCUAUUCACCUACACUUCUUCUUCUUUUCCUUUCUUCUCUCCCCUCUUUCUUCCUUUUCUCCCUCCCUCCCUUCCUUUCUUCCUUUUAUUCAACUUACAUUUACUAACCUUCUAUCAAAAGCUAGGCUUUAUCAAAAAUUCAAAGUUAAUCCCAAACUUAGGAUGAAUUACUUUAACUUCCGUCCUAGUAUGCCAUCUAAUAUUAGCAACACAGGCUAAAAAGAUGACAGGACUACAGGAAUGGAGAAGGGAGAGAGCAGUGCCACGUGAAGUCACCUUGGGAAGAACGGGCCCACCUAGAGUGUGAACUCAGAGCAGAGGCCUAGAAUGAGGGUGCUUUGAGCACUUGAUUCCUAGAAACAUAAAUAUGUCAUGAGAUGAAGUGUGCAGAAUCACAGUACUUUCCAAACCUCACCGAGGAUAAGUCCCGCUUCUCUUUUCUCCCCUCUUCAAGUUAUGUUUUCCUUCAGUUUAUCCUUGUUUCUCUCUUUCCUCAUUUGAGAUGGACAAAACUCAAUGAAUCAUCUUUUUCUAAGUAUGUUAGUAGAAUAUAGUUUCAAAAACAGAAUUAAAAUAACACCGUUUAACACAGGCUAGAAUAGGGACUAGACAUGGACGUUCUCAGGUUCUUCGUGGUGUGCCACUAGCCAUUAUGUGGCCCCAUGUAAGUCAUUAAGAUUCAGGUAGUUCAAGGUUGAUUGUGCUUAAUUUAUUCAAUUGCGAAGACCACAUAGUGGUGUGGCUAAUUAUUGUUUAGAAGGUGCUGAAGCUUCUCAGAUGAAAGCCACCAUGGAGGAGCAAGAGGUCAUUACAGUAAUCACUGCUGCAAAGUGAAUUCAUUUCCAUAGAAGGUCACUUAUGAGUUGAGUCACAUUGUAGAGAAAGAGCUUAAUCUUACAAGGUUGAAUGGAGGGCAUGGUCACAUACCCUAACUACCCAUGAUCGGCAGGAAUGAAGAGUGGUGGGCAGGUUGCAGCAGGAUCUCAGAACUUCUCUUCCUCCCUGCACCUCCCUGUAAAGCUCCACUGGGCCUGAAGAACCUGUCCAUCUAUCUUGAUAAAGCCUUCAGCUUGAAGGCACCUGCAGUCUGGCCAAGGGUGCCACACAGCAUUGUGUAGGACACCCUUUGAAUACUUGUGGGUCAUUGCUAAGCCGAUUCCUCCUCCCUCCUCCUCUUUCCUCUAAAUACCAUGUUCUGGUUCUGCCUGUUUCUAGGUGGUCAUUUCUAGGUCAGAACUAUCCUAUGCCCAAACAGAAGAGGGCUUGUCUGGGUUCUCAGCAAAGAUGCCAGCACUUACAGAGCUUUACUAGGCAAAGCGUGAUAGAUGAUAGAUUCUGUGUUUCACCCACACUGCUUUGUUUUCACUGCUGUUUUGCAAUGGGUUGUAAACAUAACAGAGUCACUGCCAGUGCUAAUGAUCUGUGAUUUUCUAGCAAGGAGGUCAAUUGCACCGGGCACCUACCCACACUGCCUACUACCCUUAAAGCAGCAGAUCCCAUUUAUUUUGGGAAUGUGAACAUCUUACAAACUCACACAUUCCACAUUGUUCUUCCCUGCCUCCCAUGCCUUCAUAUAAAUACAGCAUCCCAAGGGAAAGAAAAACUGCCUUUUCAUGAAUCAGAGAGGAUGCUUAACGUAUUUGACUUAAAAAAAGUACUUUUAAAGACGUCAAAUCCCAAAGUAAGCAGCUUUUACUUCAAAAAUAAGCCCACUUCGAUGGGAGAUCAAAGGGAUGGAACUUUCCAAGUUGCAGUUGAAUUUAACAUUCCAAGAGUCAGGAGGGCAGAUUAAAAUAGGAUUUUGCUUGCAAUAACAUUUGCGGUCUGUUCAGCAUUGUUGAGUGCUUAAUCUAGCCAGGAAGUCUGAUUUACAGGGAGCUACAGCAGGCCUUCAGCCCCCGGAAUUCAUCCCAAAAGCAACAUGACUUUCGUUUUGAGGAAAGGCUUUGACACAGGGACUACUGCUUUCUCCCAGUAGGGGUUACCAGCCUAUUUCAAAUCAGGGCCUUUCUUUUCUAUAGCAGCAAUUGUAAGACAAUGAAAACAUCCUGUUUCAGAAAAGAAUUUGCAAAGAAGUACAACAGGAUAUUCUCAAACCUGGUGCAAAGUGAAUCAUCUUAUCAAACACAAACUACCUGAGCUAUAUAUUGGUACUGUUUAAUUGACAACUCUAAGGGACACACAAAGCCACUGUUCCCAUAGCAACCCUGCCAAGUGAUGUCAGAAACCAGGGUUCGGCCUUGAAGGCUACAACACAAGUGCGGUGUUGACCAGCUAGCAAUGACGACAACCCCGAAGACAGCGCCGUGCCUCCAGCAACAGAAAUCAGCAGUGCACGUGUGUGCACACACUGUGUCUUGUUUUAUGCUUAAAAAUUGUGAAUAAUCCAUUUUUAAGUGUGUGUAUUCUCUAGAAGCCUGUGUUUCUCCUGAUGUGUGUUUUAUGCUUAAAAAUUGUAAAUAAUCCAUUUUUAAGUGUGUAUAUUCUUUAGAAGCCCGUGUUUCUCCUGAUGUGUCAUAUCACUUGGAAAAUCAGAUUUCCUUUUGCUUUCAUGAAGACCUAUUUUCUGAAAUUGAAGAUGAAAUGAUUCAUUUGCUCAAACCCUUAAAAUGUCCUGACUUUAUUCCUUAGGGAGGUUCAUCAUGUUCAGAGGAGAAGAGAGUGAAGGAUUGUUUAAUAAAGACCAAUCAUGUAAAUUUUA